AUGUCAUUCAACACCGAUCCUUCUUCGAUCAGAAGAAGUAACAUCAAAUUCGUCGGUCUCUCCUUCAAAAUGCGUCGCCUUUUUUACCGUUACAGCAACAAAAGUGGAAUGGCAAAAACAGAAGGGAGGAAUUUAAAGCAAAGGAAAAUAAAACUCUUCACCUCCCCGAUCUGCCAACACCGCCGUGAGAUAACUCCGUCCACCAAACCACCUCCAAGCUCCAUCCAUCGCAAAUUCCCCGCGACGAAAUCGACUCCCAAAUCUGACGCGGUCCGACGAACAUCAACACCAUGCACCAGCCGCCGGCGCCACUAA